CACGAACUGCGCAAACGUUAUUCGGAAUCACUGGGCUUAAAGAGUUCGUAGGCGGCCAUAUAAGUGAGGUGUGAAAGCCCUCGGCUCAACCGAGGAAUUGCGCUUCAUACUGUGUGGCUAGAGGGAGUCAGAGGUGAGCGGAACUUACGGUGGAGCGGUGAAAUGCGUUGAUAUCGUAAGGAACACCGGUGGCGAAAGCGGCUCACUGGGGCUUUUCUGACGCUGAGGAACGAAAGCUAGGGGAGCAAACGGG
rnacentral:rRNA from 1 species